AUUGAACGCUGGCGGCAUGCCUUACACAUGCAAGUCGAACGGCAGCACGGGUGCUUGCACCUGGUGGCGAGUGGCGAACGGGUGAGUAAUACAUCGGAACGUACCUUAUCGUGGGGGAUAACGCAGCGAAAGCUGUGCUAAUACCGCAUACGCCCUGAGGGGGAAAGCGGGGGAUCGCAAGACCUCGCGCGAUUAGAGCGGCCGAUGCCUGAUUAGCUUGUUGGUGGGGUAAAAGCCCACCAAGGCGACGAUCAGUAGCUGGUCUGAGAGGACGAUCCGCCACACGGGGACUGAGACACGGCCCAGACGCCUACGGGAGGCAGCAGUGGGGAAUUUUGGACAAUGGGGGCAACCCUGAUCCAGCAAUGCCGCGUGAGUGAAGAAGGCCUUCGGGUUGUAAAGCUCUUUUGUCAGGGAAGAAACACCGGCUCUAACACAGUCCGGGAAUGACGGUACCUGAAGAAUAAGCACCGGCUAACUACGUGCCAGCCGCCGCCGUAA
rnacentral:rRNA from 1 species